rnacentral:rRNA from 1 species
GAUUUCUGACAAAGCGGGGCGGCCCGUGCUCUUAAUGGGUGCUGUGUGCCGUGUCGUGUUUGUCAUCCUUCCAGAGAGCUACGUCUACCAUUCAUUUGGCCGGACGUACGCGAUCUGGAUCGAUUACUUUGAAAAAAUUAGAGUGUUUAAAGCAGGCUCUCGCUCUGAAUACAUUAGCAUGGAAUAAUAAUUUAGGACUUCGGUUCUAUUUUGUUGGUUUCUAGGACUGAAGUAAUGAUUGAUAGGGACAGUUGGGGGUGCUAGUAUUCCGCGGCCAGAGGUGAAAUUCUUGGAUUCGCGGAAGACUAACUACUGCGAAAGCAUU